rnacentral:rRNA from 1 species
UACCAAGGCUUGACAUGAACCGGAAAGACCUGGAAACAGGUGCCCCGCUUGCGGUCCGGUUUACAGGUGGUGCAUGGUUGUCGUCAGCUCGUGUCGUGAGAUGAUUGGGUUAAGUCCCGCAACGAGCGCAACCCUCGUUCUAUGUUGCCAGCACGUGAUGGUGGGGACUCAUAGGAGACUGCCGGGGUCAACUCGGAGGAAGGUGGGGACGACGUCAAAUCAUCAUGCCCCUUAUGUCUUGGGCUUCACGCAUGCUACAAUGGCCGGUACAAAGGGUUGCGAUACUGUGAGGUGGAGCUAAUCCCAAAAAGCCGGUCUCAGUUCGGAUUGGGGUCUGCAACUCGACCCCAUGAAGUCGGAGUCGCUAGUAAUCGCAGAUCAGCAACGCUGCGGUGAAUACGUUCCCGGGCCUUGUACACACCGCCCGUCAAGUCACGAAAGUUGGUAACACCCGAAGCCGGUGGCCUAACCCCUUGUGGGAGGGAGCUGUCGAAGGUGGGACUGGCGAUUGGACUA